rnacentral:rRNA from 1 species
GAUGAACGCUAGCGGCAGGCCUAACACAUGCAAGUCGAGGGGCAGCACAGGUAGCAAUACUGGGUGGCGACCGGCGGAUGGGUGCGUAACGCGUAUGCAACCUACCAUUGAUUGGGGCAUAGCCCGAAGAAAUUCGGAUUAAUACUCCAUAAUAUUCAUCAAAGGCAUCUUUUAUGAAUUAAAGCUUUUGCGAUCAAUGAUGGGCAUGCGUGACAUUAGUUAGUUGGUGAGGUAACGGCUCACCAAAACGAUGAUGUCUAGGGGUUCUGAGAGGAUUAUCCCCCACACUGGUACUGAGACACGGACCAGACUCCUACGGGAGGCAGCAGUGAGGAAUAUUGGUCAAUGGACGCAAGUCUGAACCAGCCAUGCCGCGUGCAGGAUGAAGGCCCUAUGGGUUGUAAACUGCUUUUAGCCGGGAAUAAACACCCGUUUUAUAACGGGCCCGAAGGUACCGGCUGAAUAAGCAUCGCUAACUCCGUGCCAGC